CGGCGGACGGGUGAGUAACGCGUGGGUAACCUGCCUCAUACAGGGGGAUAACAGUUGGAAACGGCUGCUAAUACCGCAUAAGCGCACAGUACCGCAUGGUACGGUGUGAAAAACUCCGGUGGUAUGAAAUGGACCCGCGUCUGAUUAGGUAGUUGGUGGGGUAACGGCCUACCAAGCCGACGAUCAGUAGCCGACCUGAGAGGGUGACCGGCCACAUUGGGACUGAGACACGGCCCAA
rnacentral:rRNA from 1 species